CCAAGGUCUGAUGGACAGGUUCCAACCUGGAGAAUUGGAAAUGCUGACGCUGGCUAUGGCUGGAGGUACUGCACCUUUGAGAGACAGGAACAGGUGAAAUAAGAAAGAGGAGAGGGAGAGACAAAGGAUACCUUGUCUAUCAAAAAUCUAAUGAAAAAUCCGUCCCUUAUCGCUGCUGGAGGUCUUAUGAAGACUGAGUUAACUGUCUGUCUCUAAGGCCAGUGUGCUUUGCUCCCAGCCUGCUUCUGCUCAGUCUUCAGGACCACUCUGUUGCAGGGGUUUCACAGCAGAGAUCUGAGAGGUGGUGGUGUGCUUCCAGUCGACAGUCAUUCACCUAUGGGUUGGGCAGAGGAGGCCAAGCAGUUCAUCCAGUGCUGGCAAGGGAGAAGAGGCUGAGAGGCAGUUGGUUG
rnacentral:lncRNA from 1 species